UACAGGGGGGGCAAGCGUUGUUCGGAAUUACUGGGCGUAAAGGGCUCGUAGGCGGCCGGCUAAGUCCGACGUGAAAUCCCCAGGCUUAGCCUGGGAACUGCGUCGGAUACUGGCGGGCUUGAAUCCGGGAGAGGGAUGCGGAAUUCCAGGUGUAGCGGUGAAAUGCGUAGAUAUCUGGAGGAACACCGGUGGCGAAGGCGGCAUCCUGGACCGGCAUUGACGCUGAAUAGCGAAAGCCAGGGGAGCAAACGGG
rnacentral:rRNA from 1 species